CUUCCAGUAGCACCUUAGAGACCAAAUAAGUUUGUUAUUGGCAUGAGCUUUCAUGUGCAUUCACACUUCUGAAGAAUCUGAAGAAGUGUGCAUGCACACGAAAGCUCAUACCAAUAACAAACUUAGUUGGUCUCUAAGGUGCUACUGGAAG